rfam:Triticum aestivum genome assembly, contig: Triticum_aestivum_CS42_TGACv1_scaffold_571351_7AS
UACGUACUCCCUCCGUCAUAAAAUUCUUGUCUUAAAUUUGUCUAAAUACGAAUGUAUUUAGACUUGAUACAUCCGUAUUUAGACACAUCUAAAACAAGAAUUUUGAGACAGAGGUAGUAUCAU